GUUUGGCACUCACAUUCAGUGUAGAAAACUAAAUAGCGCGAUCAAAACAUGUUUUCGUUCUUGUUCGUGUAAUUUUGCAGGAGAUUUUACUCUAAAUACUGUGAUUAAUUGGUUUAACAUACAACGAGGAAAAUGCAUCGUCUUCCGCUCAAUUUGUGCAAAUUUGCAGCUCGGAUGGCCGAUCCAGUACGGCAGAAUCUGAAAAGUGUAUCUGCCAAGGCCACAGCCACUUCGCUGGUCGUCAACCGUAGCCUCCAAUAUAGACAGUCGUCAUCUAGUACCGGAGCAGCUGAUAACGGCAAUAAGAUUCCAUUGAGCAAAGCAAACAGCAACAACACCACAACCAGCAGUGGGAAGCACGAAGAAGAGGCCAGCCCCUUGACGGACAAGUUUGGCCGAUUUCACAGUUACUUGCGAAUCUCGCUGACGGAGAGGUGCAACUUACGCUGCAAGUAUUGCAUGCCCGAAGAAGGUGUCCCCCUAACGGCAAAGGACAGUCUACUCACAUCCGACGAAGUGCUCCGUCUGGCAGGUCUAUUCGUGCGCGAGGGCGUCCGCAAAAUACGACUUACCGGGGGUGAACCAACGGUGCGCAAAGAUUUGACCGAUAUCGUCGCUGCGUUGAAGCGCAUUCCGUCACUGGAAAGUGUUGGCAUCACAACGAACGGUCUCAUGUUGACCCGACAGCUGGUGGGCCUGCAGCGGGCAGGUCUGGACGGGCUCAAUAUCAGCCUGGACACGCUGAAGGCGGCCAAGUAUGAACGCAUCACCCGGCGGAAGGGCUGGGAGCGGGUCAUCGCCGGAAUUGACCUGGCCAUUCAGCUGGGCUACAAACCGAAAGUCAACUGCGUACUAAUGAAGGGUUUCAACGAUGACGAGCUGUGCGACUUUGUCGAGAUGACCCGGGAUCGUUGCGUAGACAUUCGAUUCAUAGAGUACAUGCCAUUCACUGGGAAUCGGUGGGACACUAGCGAGAUGGUACCGUUCCGUGAGGCUCUGGCCACCAUUCGCGAGCGCUACCCGGAUUUUACGGCCCUCGACAACGGUCCAAACGACACCGCCAAAGCGUUCCACGUGCCGGGCUUCCGGGGUCAGCUGGGCUUCAUCAGCUCGAUGACGGAACACUUUUGCGGUGGUUGCAACCGUUUGCGCAUCACGGCCGACGGUAACCUGAAGGUGUGCCUGUUUGGCAAUACCGAGGUUUCACUGCGCGAUGCACUGCGCUCCGGAUGUUCCGAGGACGACUUGCGCUGCCUCAUUUCGGCGGCAGUUAAGCGAAAAAAGAAGCAACACGCAGGUAUGCUGAACCUGUCCCAGAUGGAGAACCGGCCUAUGAUUUUAAUCGGAGGAUAACGAUCACCCGGUAGAACAAAUGGAAGGCAGCUGACCUCCAAAAUAAAACAAGCGCAAUUACAAACAGGGACGUGAUAGCAAUACACUUAGAAUAGAUAGCAAAAACGGGUAAAAUAUAAGAGCAAAACCAUCUCUCAUCUCAUCCACCAUCCGAUCGUACCCCCUGCUUGGGGUACGCGCCUUCUCCUCACUCAGCCACGUGGACGAGCGCACCGGCAAAGCAACAAUGGUCGACGUAGACGACAAGGUGUCCACCAG